rnacentral:lncRNA from 1 species
CGAAUAGUAGCCCUGAGCCUCCCACGGAGCUCUGAACCCUGAGCCUCUGUCUAUGGCAUACAAAAAUGAAGGCAGCCGGUUCCAAGUAGUGCGCCCUUUGAUCAGCUCCCAAGGGUGCGACCCGCCUUCAGGGUAAAGGGAAAGCCUGGAGGUCAGGAAGCAGGCUUCUGAGGACUUCUGGGGAAGGUACUCAUCUACCACCGUUUUGACAGCUCUCUGGAUGUAACUCUUCAUCAAACAUCCCACAAGCCAUUCCACAUAGUCACCAACAUCCCAGAGACAGACCUGGACCGACUAUAGAUUUGAGAGCCAAGUGCUUUACUGACAAGUCACUUCUGCGACCCAACAAUAGGCUUCUGACCACCCUAACUCAGCAUCUUAGUGCUGGAAUUACUGAGAGCACCGCCAUACCUGGCUUCUGCAUAGAAGAGUCCCAGCCUUGCCAGGAGGCGGAAGUGACUGAGCUGCUAGAUCCUUCAAAGUGGAGACAUCCAGAAGACAGACAACUUGGCCAGAGGGAAAUGAAGGUGUGAAGAGAAGCCGAGGAGAUUGGAAUCUAGUGCUGAAUUUGCAUCCGAUGCCGAGCCUAGGAGGUCAGAGAAGACCUAGGGCACAAAAGAGGAAGUAGCAAAGGGGAGGGUCUUCCUUCUGAUCCCCUCUAUUAGGUGGAGGACCUCGGAGGAGAGACCUCCGCCUUCUGCUCUGUAGCGCUGCACUUGAGUACCAUAAGGCGAACCCUACCGUGCAGAUCUGGAAACGGCUGAAACCGCCCGAUGAGCGGGCAUUGCAGGGCAAAGAUUGUGGGGGACUUCUUCCAUAUCUCGGAGGCGUUCUCUAGCCAGUCUACAUCUCCAGCGAGGAUACUUUAUUUUAGCAAGUGGGUGUUAAGCCAGACAUAACCACUAGGGGACAGUAAAAACAACCCUUAAGGUCAGUAUUCCUCCAAGACCCCACCUACUCUCACCUGAGGCCAAGAUGGGCAGUGCCUCACCUGGCUUUCACCUAGCUCUCUGUUAACCACUUCCUGCCUA